rnacentral:rRNA from 1 species
AGGGAAUAUUGGACAAUGGAGGAAACUCUGAUCCAGCCAUGCCGCGUGAUAGAUGAAGGCCCUCUGGGUUGUAAAUAUCUUUUAUCUGGGAAGAAACACUCCUAUUCUUAGGAACUUGACGGUACCAGAGGAAUAAGCACCGGCUAACUCCGUGCCAGCAGCCGCGGUAAUACGGAGGGUGCAAGCGUUAUCCGGAUUCACUGGGUUUAAAGGGUGCGUAGGCGGGCUGAUAAGUCAGUGGUGAAAGCUCCGAGCUUAACUUGGAAACUGCCAUUGAUACUGCCAGUCUUGAAUGUCGUAGAGGUAAGCGGAAUGUUGCAUGUAGCGGUGAAAUGCUUAGAUAUGUUACAGAACACCAAUUGCGAAGGCAGCUUACUAUGCGAUGAUUGACGCUGAGGCACGAAAGCGUGGGGAGCAAAC